rfam:Acidibacillus ferrooxidans strain ITV001 contig0069, whole genome shotgun sequence.
CCGCGGGAAGGGCCGAAUCUCCUUUUGGGAGAACGGGGGAACCAUUUGUGGGGUGAAUAGGGUGGACUGCGCCCGCAGUCGCUCUUAGGCGUGUAAGAUCCGCCGAAUCCGUCAGCUAACCUCGUAGGCGAAUACUGGUGGCGAC